ACAAGAGCAACAAUAUAGAUUAAGUUCAAAUAGUAGUUAAUAAAGUAAUUACGUUCAGCUAGCACUAAAAAGGCUACUCCUAGUAUAUCUGGAAGUUUGUCCAUAGAGGGGGAAUCAGUUGGGCCUUGCUGUUUGGUAUUGUGGUUUGGUAUAUAUGGAAGGAUAGAUGUGACUUGGUUUUUAACAACCAUAUAACUACGCCUUGUAAUUUAGUAGUACUUAUUACUAAUGCUGCCAAUGAUAUAAUCGAUAGUCUUUGUUAUCCAGAUGCAAUCUCAAAUCUUCACAUGAAAGAAGCUCAUGUUGCUUGGUGUAAACCGGAACAAGGUACAUGGAAGAUGAACACUGAUGGCUCUAUUCGCUCUCAACAGCGGCAAGCAUCCUCUGGUGGGCUGAUUAGAGACUGGCAAGGGAAGGUAAUUUGCGGAUUUAUAGAAAAUCUGGGUCAUGCUCAAUUCUGAGAGCAGAACUGUGGGGAGUCCUUAAAGGCUUGGAACUUGCUUAUAAGUUCAAACCGAAGGAGAUCAUGAUGGAAUUAGACUCAAAAAUAGCUUAUGAUCUGAUUACCAUUAGAUGUUCCACCCUUCACCCUUGUGCAGAUCUGGUGCAAGCAAUUGCUGUCAAAGCUGGUUUGGACUGGGAUGUGCACUUCCACUUGGUCUUUAGAGAAGCCAAUAAAUGUGCUGAUUAUUUGGCUGGUCUUGGGCACAAUAUGCAGCGUUUUGAUUUUAGUAGUGAAUGUGUUCCUCACUCAAUGUUUUCUCUAUUAAGAGAUGAUGUGAAUGGGGUUUCUUACCCUAGACUUAUGUAAUUUGUUUUCUGGGCUUGCCCCUUAUUACAUAAAAAAAAAAAAGGCUACUCCUAGUAGAAGUGGUAGAAUUAUUCCAAGUAUAUCAGCUAGAACAGCUAUGUACAUUUUCGAUUUUCUAUUCACUCAUGAUCUGGCCUGGUCGACCCAAUCAUGAUAUUGAAGGAUUGGACCUUUUCUCAUGCUCUGUCAUCACCAACAUUAAAAUAUGGUGUUGACUAAGGUGCAAUAUGCCUUAGGUCAGUACUAUUAGCCACAAAAAUGGAAUAUGCUAUGCUUUGUCAUUACUAAAAUUAAAAUAUGGUGUUGACUAAGGUGUAAUAUGCCUUGGUUCGGUAUUAUUAGCCACCAACCUUAAAAUAUGAAUAUGGCGUCUCUAUAUCGUACGUAAGCUAGCAAUGUGGUCAUCAUCUUUGUCCACACAAAAAACUAACUGAGAGUGAUUGUAAGAGCAAAAGUAUUUUAGGCUUCUGGGUCUGGUGGGUCAAUCCCAGUACUUAUCCUAUAAAUAUUAUGGAUUAAUAGAAUGGAGAAAAAGUGAAAAACACAUCAUCAAGGUAAGCAAUGGAAACUCAAGUAGUUGAAGAUAUUGUGAUAGUGGGAGCUGGAAUUGCUGGCUUAACAACAUCAUUGGGACUUCAUAGGUUGGGUGUUAAAAGUUUGGUACUAGAAUCUUCAGAUACAUUGAGGCUCACUGGGUUUGCUCUAGCAACAUGGAAAAAUGCUUGGAAGGCCUUGGAAGCUGUCGGUGUUGGAAACAUCCUUCGCGACCAACAUCUACAGGUUAAUGUGACUACCAUUACUUCUUUGAUUACCGGGCAACCUACAUCUACUCUGUCUUUCAAGGAUAAUGGAAAGCGUGGAUCUUGUGAAGUUCGUUGUGUUAGAAGGAAGUUAAUGUUGGAAGCCCUUGCCAAUGAGCUUCCAAGUGGCACCAUUAGGUACUUGUCAAAGGUGGUUGCUAUUGAGGAAUCUGGCUUCUAUAAGAUACUCCAUCUUUCGGAUGGAACCACCAUCAAAACCAAGGUAUUGAUUGGGUGUGAUGGAGUAAACUCCAUGGUAGCAAAGUGGCUAGGCUUCAAGGAGGCCUCUUUUACAGGGAGACAAUCAAUCAGAGGAUGUGUAGAGUUGGAGAGCAACCACGGGUUCGAGCCCAUGUUAAAGAAGUUCUUUGGUCAAGGUUUUCAAACCGGAGUUGUUCCUAGUGAUCAGAAGACUGUUUACUGGUUUUUCAUUUCACUUGGACACCACGCACCACCCAAGAGGAAGAGCUAGAAGAGAACUCUGCUAAACUGAAACAAUUUGUAUUGAGCAAGCUUGAGAAGAUGCCAAGUGAUGUUAGAUGCUUCAUAGAAAAAACUGAAUUAGAUUGUUUCGAUUCAGCUCCAUUGAGAUAUAGACAACCAUGAGAUCUCAUGUUUGGAAACAUUAGCAAAGGUAAUGUUUGUGUUGCCGGAGACGCUCACCAUCCCAUGACUCCUGACCUUGGCCAGGGUGGGUGUUGUGCUUUGGAAGAUGGGGUUGUUUUAGCCAGGUGCCUAGCUAAGGCAUUCUCCGAAAAAUCGAAAGAAAGGAAAGGAGAAGAAGAAGAGGAAUACAAAAGGAUAGAGGAAAGCUUGAAGAAAUAUGCAGAUGAGAGAAAAUGGAGAAGCAUUGAUCUUAUCAGUACAGCUUAUAUGGCAGGUUUUGUUCAGCAAGCAAAUUCGAAAUGGGUCACUUUUAUAAGGGACAAAAUUCUGGCUAUAUUCCUAGCUGAUAUGAUGUUGAAGAAGGCAAAUUUUGAUUGUGGAACACUAAAUAGCUCUUAGAGACAUGAUUAUCUUGUAAAAUGCUCAGUUCAUCAUUUUGUUGCCUUCAACAAUAUGUCUGUUAAAUGUGAUGUAUGCUUUUGAAUAGAUUGUUAUUAAACUGUAUAAACCUAUUCUUAUAUUUGCUGCAUUUUGAUCUCUCACAA